rnacentral:tRNA from 1 species
CCCGUGAUCGUAUAUUGGUUANACAUUGCGUUCUGGCCGCAAUAAUCCAGGUUCGAAUCUUGGUCACGGCA